rnacentral:rRNA from 1 species
UGCCUACGGGUGGCAGCAGUGGGGAAUCUUGCACAAUGGGGGAAACCCUGAUGCAGCGACGCCGCGUGAGCGAUGAAGCCCUUCGGGGUGUAAAGCUCUUUCGGCAGGGAAGAUGAUGACGGUACCUGCAGAAGCAGCUGCGGCUAACUACGUGCCAGCAGCCGCGGUAAUACGUAGGCAGCAAGCGUUGUUCGGAGUUACUGGGCGUAAAGGGUGUGUAGGCGGUUCUUUAAGUUUGGUGUGAAAUCUCCCGGCUCAACUGGGAGGGUGCGCCGAAUACUGAGGGACUCGAGUGCGGGAGAGGAAAGUGGAAUUCCUGGUGUAGCGGUGAAAUGCGUAGAUAUCAGGAGGAACACCGGUGGUGUAAACGGCUUUCUGGACCGUAACUGACGCUGAGACACGAAAGCGUGGGUAGCAAACAGGAUUAGAUACCCUAGUAGUCC